GCCGAGGUAGCCAAGCCCGGUAUGGCGCCGGUCUCGAAAACCGGUGGUGUUCCACCUCGGGAGUUCAAAUCUCCUCCUCGGCG
rnacentral:tRNA from 2 species